rnacentral:rRNA from 1 species
CCUACGGGGGGCAGCAGUGGGGAAUAUUGGACAAUGGGGGGAACCCUGAUCCAGCCAUGCCGCGUGUGUGAAGAAGGCCCUCGGGUUGUAAAGCACUUUCAGUGAGGAAGAACGCCUGGUGGUUAAUACCCAUCAGGAAAGACAUCACUCACAGAAGAAGCACCGGCUAACUCCGUGCCAGCAGCCGCGGUAAUACGGAGGGUGCGAGCGUUAAUCGGAAUUACUGGGCGUAAAGCGCGCGUAGGUGGCUUGAUAAGCCGGUUGUGAAAGCCCCGGGCUCAACCUGGGAACGGCAUCCGGAACUGGCAAGCUAGAGUGCAGGAGAGGAAGGUAGAAUUCCCGGUGUAGCGGUGAAAUGCGUAGAGAUCGGGAGGAAUACCAGUGGCGAAGGCGGCCUUCUGGACUGACACUGACACUGAGGUGCGAAAGCGUGGGUAGCAAACAGGAUUAGAUACCCGGGUAGUC